CAAAACUUGGUCUGAGUCAAGAUCAUUGUGUGAGUAUGUGUGCGAGAGUGUGUGAGUGUGUGUAGUGUGUGUGGAUGCUAUGUACCUCACAUUUGGCAGAUUGUGACAACAGCUAGUAGGAAGGAAGAGAUGCGAAGCCAACAAGAGGCCAUGGAGCAUUUCCAUCUGGGUGCUUACGGGACAUCAACAAAGCCUGUUGUAAUAACAGUGAGCACUACAGCAGGAAGCAGCUCAGGAACCGAAGGCUCAGAGGGUUGACUCCAUUAAAUCACAGACAAUGGUAACCACAGGAGGAGGAAGAGUGUACAGGUGCCUGCAAUUGUUUUCGUGUUGACUGCAUGAGGGAGAGCUUACUGCUAUCAUAUAUGCUCCGAUGAGGGCUUCAUGCUGAACCAUAGGUUUGUUAGUCUAUUAGCUGUAAGUCAAAUUCACCAAAAUCAUCAAGACAUGAGAUGAUUCUUCGCUUUUUUUCACCACUGGAGUGCCACUUUUUUUCGGGAAACAAGCGCACUGCAUUCCCAUUUUGGAGUUCACUUACCAAUGUUUCACAUUUACAUUGGUAAUGUUUACCAGCAGUGAUCAAGCCUGGACCAGCAGUUAACAUCUCAGGGUCUUUCCAAGCCACAUUGAGCAAUCAACACUUUCCUCUGUCCAGCGGCCCUUCCGUCCGUCCCUCUGUCCCCUCAUCCCUCUUCCAGUCUUGUUUUGGCCAAAGCAACAGCACAAUAACAUAAAUCACAGGUCUGUUUGUAGCCAGAAUGAGAAAACCAAGCCUGAAGCUACAAGAGCAUCUGUUCUUCCCUCUAAAGCACACAAAUAUACACAGACAUGCACGCAAACAAACACAAGUCUGAGAACAGCCUUGAGCUGUCAGCACAGGGGCCUGAAUCCUGCAACAGGUUAUUUUUAUAUAUAUUGACAGGCUGGGAGGGAUUGACCUGAGGUGUUGUGUGGUCCAGAUGGGAGAGGGAGGAAAAGGCAGAUGGAGAGGAGGAAGCAAAAUAUGACCAAGAACAGGAAAAGAAAGAUGCUGGCGGUGGUGUCAGAGAGGAGGAUGCUAGCCAAACUACAUACCAUCUUGGAAAGUGUCUCCCACCCACUCCAUGACGUGCUGGUCAAACAAAGGAGUACCUUCAGCGGAAGACUCAUCCCCCCAAAAUGCACCACAGAGCGCCACAGGAAGUCAUUCCUGCCUGUGGCCAUCAAACUCUUUAACUCCUCCCUCUAAGUGUAGUCUGUAUGACCCUAAGUCAUUAAAUGGGACAUUGAUCAUGUCAUCUAUGCAGUACUUGACAUAAUUGUGCAAUAGUUCCUGUGUUAAUACCCCUGGGCAAUAUACUUAAAUUCCCUAUUUAUUGAUAUUUAUUCAUACCUCUAUUACUGCUGUGCAAUAUCCUCUGUCUCAUUAUA